rnacentral:rRNA from 1 species
GACGAACGCUGGCGGCGUGCUUAACACAUGCAAGUCGAACGAAGAGCGACGGAAGCUUGCUUCUAUCAAUCUUAGUGGCGAACGGGUGAGUAACGCGUAAUCAACCUGCCCUUCAGAGGGGGACAACAGUUGGAAACGACUGCUAAUACCGCAUACGAUCUAAUCUCGGCAUCGAGGAUAGAUGAAAGGUGGCCUCUACAUGUAAGCUAUCACUGAAGGAGGGGAUUGCGUCUGAUUAGCUAGUUGGAGGGGUAACGGCCCACCAAGGCGAUGAUCAGUAGCCGGUCUGAGAGGAUGAACGGCCACAUUGGGACUGAGACACGGCCCAGACUCCUACGGGAGGCAGCAGUGGGGAAUCUUCCGCAAUGGACGAAAGUCUGACGGAGCAACGCCGCGUGAGUGAUGACGGCCUUCGGGUUGUAAAGCUCUGUUAAUCGGGACGAAAGGCCUUCUUGCGAAUAGUGAGAAGGAUUGACGGUACCGGAAUAGAAAGCCACGGCUAACUACGU